rnacentral:rRNA from 1 species
GAUGAACGCUGGCGGUGUGCCUAAUACAUGCAAGUCGAGCGAAUGAAGAGGAGCUUGCUCCUCUGAUUUAGCGGCGGACGGGUGAGUAACACGUGGGUAAUCUGCCUGUAAGACGGGGAUAACUCCGGGAAACCGGGGCUAAUACCGGAUAACAAAAGAAGAAGCAUUUCUUCUUUUUGAAAGUCGGUUUCGGCUGACGCUUACAGAUGAGCCCGCGGCGCAUUAGCUAGUUGGUGAGGUAACGGCUCACCAAGGCGACGAUGCGUAGCCGACAUGAGAGGGUGCGCGGCCACACGGGGACUGAGACACGGCCCAGACUCCUACGGGAGGCAGCAGUAGGGAAUCUUCGGCAAUGGGCGAAAGCCUGACCGAGCAACGCCGCGUGAGCGAUGAAGGCCUUCGGGUCGUAAAGCUCUGUUGUUAGGGAAGAACACGUACGAGAGUAACUGCUCGUACCUUGACGGUACCUAACCAGAAAGCCACGGCUAACUACGUGCCAGCAGCCGCCGUAACAC